CAGCUUGCAGAUGGCUGGCUGACAUCUUGCUACUCAAAAGUUAGUCGGUGGACCAGCCAUACGUGGCAGCUGGUUAAAUCAGGCCCCGCCCCUGGCCCCCAGAGCCGGAACUGGCAUGUGAAGCAAGGUGUCCCCGCGGAGUGUUUGGUCCAUGUUGGAGAAGCAGUCAGUGCCUAGUUCACUGAUUCAUGUGCCUUUUCCUGGGUAUCAACAGCAAAUUAUAAACAAGAGCUGAGGUGCGGGGCUGGGGCUGUAGCCAACUGAUCCAGAAUGGAUGCAGUGGGUAUUUUCAAAGCCCAUCCCUGGGGGGGUUGUGUGUGGGGGGUUCCGAUAUUCAGAAAGACAAACAAACAACCUUGAAAGCCCUUGAGCACAGGGAACUCCAUGUACUGAAAAGGCAUUCAAAGCUUAUGGGAACUUGAGAGAGCCCACAAAACAAAGGCUGUCUGUCUGCACAUGUCUGUCUGCACUUCAUCCAGAUGGGGAGCCCUUAGUCCAGACAGAAUAGGACCCCAGGCCCACACCUUCCUAAGAGCUUCCUGCUCGACUGUCUUUCCUCUUCUGCCAGCCAGGAAGGGUGGGGUGGAGUAUAGGCUCCCCUGGGACAGGGCAGGAAGUGCUGCUCUCAUAAGAAGCUGUGGGGUUGGGAAGCCUGGGACCAGGGGAGUCUGGGCUUCCUCCCUGUGGGCGGGGCCCCACUAAGCCUGCUGCUUGCAGAAGGCCUACUGGGCUGAAUGGCCAGCGAGCC
rnacentral:lncRNA from 1 species